AAAAGAUACUGGAGUGGUUUGCCGUUUCCUUCUCCAUCUCAUUUCACAGUGGUUUUCCUAAACUGACAUCUCAGAGAAGAGAAGCAAAGAUGGGGUGAGAGUGAAGAUCAUCACACAGAGAGCAAGCUCCUACCUUGGAUCAUGAUUGACAUGAAAGGAAAAUUUUAAUAGCUGUGAUAUUUAAAAAGAAGGAAGAAAAUUAGGUUAAAAUUAUGAAAAACCACAGACUAAAGACUGUGGCCUUUUGCCAUUUAAUUGUUAAUUGGAUUUUCCAGUGUACAAGCCAGCAGAGACAUAUCAUACUAUGGCAACCCUUGGGUGUUCAGUUUUUAUCCCUUCCAUUUUUUUAUUCUCUUAACUAAAUUCAGCUUUAUUUCUUUUUGUCCAUUUAACUGUUUUAGUGUAAUUAGGUAUUUGUGCAAUAUCACCAACUGUUUCAUACUAGAGUUAAUUGAUUCAGCAAAUAUUACUAACACCUGCUAUAUGAAAGUAAUGAUGCUAGAGUUUCUCUGAAAUCUGAUAGUGCCCUUAGGAGGCUAAAUAUUCUAGAUACUAGUAAAUAUUUUGCAUAGAGGUACUUUAUUUUUUUUAAAAGCCUUCAUUUUUCUUAAAAAUAAAAAUUAAAUACUCAAAAUAAUGUUUUAUAUAAAUAUUGCAUAUCUUAACCCUGGUAUUUAUGAAAAAAAACCUAAAUAAUAGCUGAUAGAUAAAUAGUAUUUUACAAUUUGCUGAUACUGAAGGAAGAUAAUAAAUCAAAGAGUAUACUCUUUUAAAAUGGCAUGCUGAAAAAUAUGACAAGGCAAAGACAAAUCAUGAAAGUGAAACCCAAUAUUAUUUCAUAAAGUAUAAAAUUAAAAAUUUCAUUUUCAAAAAUUUGA